rnacentral:rRNA from 1 species
AGAGUUUGAUCAUGGCUCAGAUUGAACGCUGGCGGAAUGCUUUACACAUGCAAGUCGAACGGCAGCACGGGGCAACCUGGUGGCGAGUGGCGAACGGGUGAGUAAUACAUCGGAACGUGCCCAAUUGUGGGGAUAACGUAGCGAAAGUUACGCUAAUACCGCAUACGAUCUACGGAUGAAAGCGGGGGAUCGCAAGACCUCGCGCGAAUGGAGCGGCCGAUGUCAGAUUAGGUAGUUGGUGGGGUAAAGGCUCACCAAGCCAACGAUCUGUAGCUGGUCUGAGAGGACGACCAGCCACACUGGAACUGAGACACGGUCCAGACUCCUACGGGAGGCAGCAGUGGGGAAUUUUGGACAAUGGGCGCAAGCCUGAUCCAGCCAUUCCGCGUGCAGGAUGAAGGCCUUCGGGUUGUAAACUGCUUUUGUACGGAACGAAAAGGUCCUGGUUAAUACCUGGGGCUCAUGACGGUACCGUAAGAAUAAGCACCGGCUAACUACGUG